UACGAAGGGGGCUAGCGUUGUUCGGAAUUACUGGGCGUAAAGCGCGCGCAGGCGGUCCUUCAAGUCAGAGGUGAAAGCCCAGAGCUCAACUCUGGAACGGCCUUUGAGACUAGAGGACUAGGGUACGGGAGAGGUGAGUGGAAUUCCGAGUGUAGAGGUGAAAUUCGUAGAUAUUCGGAAGAACACCAGUGGCGAAGGCGGCUCACUGGCCCGUUACCGGCGCUCAGGCGCGACAGCGUGGGGAGCAAACAGG
rnacentral:rRNA from 1 species